GUCGAUAGAUUCCUUAUAGGUGCAUACCCUACUCCUACAAUGAACCUACUGCAGCCAAUCUACACUGUAUGGACCCAUAUGGCUAGAGACCAUGUAUAUGUGCAGUCAAACUAUAAUAACCUCACCGUGAGUAGCCGAAGCAUUGCAGGUCAAAGGACCAGUCACACUACUGCAACAUCAAGCAAGUCACUGACGAGUGGAUAGACAUCCAAGUGACUUCUUGUCUUGGUCACGCUCGGUACCCUUG
rnacentral:lncRNA from 1 species